UACGUAGGGUGCAAGCGUUAGUCGGAAUUACUGGGCGUAAAGCGUGCGCAGGCGGCUUUGCAAGACAGAUGUGAAAUCCCCGGGCUUAACCUGGGAACUGCAUUUGUGACUGCAUGGCUGGAGCGCGGCAGAGGGGGAUGGAAUUCCGCGUGUAGCAGUGAAAUGCGUAGAUAUGCGGAGGAACACCGAUGGCGAAGGCAAUCCCCUGGGCCUGCACUGACGCUGUGGCGCGAAAGCUAGGGGAGCGAACGGG
rnacentral:rRNA from 1 species